rnacentral:rRNA from 1 species
UGGGGAAUUUUGGACAAUGGGCGAAAGCCUGAUCCAGCAAUGCCGCGUGUGUGAAGAAGGCCUUCGGGUUGUAAAGCACUUUUGUCCGGAAAGAAAUCCUUGGCUCUAAUACAGUCGGGGGAUGACGGUACCGGAAGAAUAAGCACCGGCUAACUACGUGCCAGCAGCCGCGGUAAUACGUAGGGUGCAAGCGUUAAUCGGAAUUACUGGGCGUAAAGCGUGCGCAGGCGGUUUGCUAAGACCGAUGUGAAAUCCCCGGGCUCAACCUGGGAACUGCAUUGGUGACUGGCAGGCUAGAGUAUGGCAGAGGGGGGUAGAAUUCCACGUGUAGCAGUGAAAUGCGUAGAGAUGUGGAGGAAUACCGAUGGCGAAGGCAGCCCCCUGGGCCAAUACUGACGCUCAUGCACGAAAGCGUGGGGAGCAAACAGGAUUAGAUACCCUGGUAGUCCACGCCCUAAANGAUGUCAACUAGUUGUUGGGAUUCAUUUCCUUAGUAACGUAGCUAACGCGUGAAGUUGACCGCCUGGGGAGUACGGUCGCAAGAUUAAAACUC